GCGGGGGAGCUACAAUUGGCUUUCUACACUGGUGCGUACUAAUGCAUACAACUCCAGAUAAAAAAGGAAAUCCUAAAUAUACAAAUAAGCAUAUAUAUACAUACUGAAGCCUAGGCCUCCCGCUNNNNNNNNNNNGUUCGUGUGCCUUGAAGAGCAGGCUGCUGCACUUCAUCCUUUAUGGGAAAGUCGACAUCAUCGUCACCAUCCUCUUCAUCUGCUUCCCUGAUUGCUUGAUUAAUUGCAAGCUCCUCCAGAUAGUCUCUGUCAAGCUUAUCAGCAAUUUUAAUAGAGGUGAAGAUGGUGCCAAGGAGGAGAGACAGAGGGAACACGAAUGCAAUCACGUAGCUGGUCGUGCUGGGACCCGCACGCGUGACCACAGUCAAACGUCUCCUCGUUUGACAAUCUCCGGCGAAGCGAAUUGCCGGCGAGGUUGGCAAGUUCAUAGGCUUGAAGGAGGCACGAACGGGUGUGGCGGAGAUGGGGACUGUAAGAGAGGCUGAGCUGGGGAUUAGGAA
rnacentral:misc_RNA from 1 species